UCAGAAGACUUCCACAUUAAUCCGAAACCUUUUUCAUAUAUACAUUAUUUCCUGUGACAUAAAAAUUUGUAUUAAAAAAAUAUGGAAAAAAAUCAGAAACCUUUAUAAUGUUCAGGUCGCAAUUUUAGAAAGAAAAGUCACUCAGCGCCUUGGCAUCGGACUUGGAGCUAUCGCCCUUGUUAUGGAAGCAUACAAAAUAGAUAACCAGUGCCAGAAUUAAAAGUACCCCGAAAAUCGAACAAAACAACACACAAAGCAGUUUGCAGCCUAAUUUUAUACAGCUGGAAAUGUAAAUGGCAUUCAUUAGCGUUAUUAUUCAAAUGGGGGGAGCCAAAAUUACUUACAAUUUGCAUAUGCUACACAUCUUUAAUUUAUAAUAAUUUAAAAUUCGGUUGUAUAUACUAAGCAACUCGUUAUAAAAUAUGAUAGAAAAGUCACAAACUCCCAUUUAGGCAAAAAUAUCGGAUACCUGUGUACAAAGAGGCAAAUUCGCUUUUCUUUUUUGUAGCGAGAAAUUUGUAUUGCAUUGCGUCGGUAAAUUCAUAAAUUCGAUUAACUUAAGCCAACAGAGCAUUCAAUUGUUGUUAAGGACCUGUAAAGCCAACUGUACAAAUGAAAUUUAAAAAAUAAAAAUAAAAUAAAAAUAAAAAAGAGAAGAAAAGAAAAGAAAAAACUCGCGUCGCAUAAUCGAAAUGUAUUUCGGCUUUUUAUUGCGCCAGCCAAGUCAAGGUAAAAGUGCCAUUUGCGUUGUGGGCUUAACAAGAAAUUAUGACCUCUGGGCGGCGCAACCACAAGAUUCAACCGAAAAGAAAGUACAUAAAAAUGUGGCAGGCCACAGGAAAAAAUCCAGCCUAUACCGAUUAAAGGCAUAAACGAUGUAGGGAUAAAAGCUGGAGAACAGCAUCGAUAGUAACUUUUGUCUACCUGAUAUCUUUGUCGACUACAUAUAAGGUUGGUCGAUUUCUCAAUCUUUACAAUUGCCGUACGCUGGGAAAAACAUUAAGACGAGGGUCCGAGUUGGAAGAUAAGAGGCUUAGAUCCUGGAUGGGUAUCAGUUUGUGAGGAAAGUUGGAUGUUCUGAUACUCAACUGGAAAGACU